rnacentral:rRNA from 2 species
GCAUAUCAAUAAGCGGAGGAAAAGAAACCAACAGGGAUUGCCCCAGUAACGGCGAGUGAAGCGGCAACAGCUCAAAUUUGAAAUCUGGCUUCGGCCCGAGUUGUAAUUUGCAGAGGAAGCUUUAGGCGCGGCACCAUCUGAGUCCCCUGGAACGGGGCGCCAUAGAGGGUGAGAGCCCCGUAUAGAUGGACGCUAAGCCUGUGUAAAGCUCCUUCGACGAGUCGAGUAGUUUGGGAAUGCUGCUCAAAAUGGGAGGUAAAUUUCUUCUAAAGCUAAAUAUUGGCCAGAGACCGAUAGCGCACAAGUAGAGUGAUCGAAAGAUGAAAAGCACUUUGAAAAGAGGGUUAAAUAGCACGUGAAAUUGUUGAAAGGGAAGCGCUUGUGACCAGACUUGCGCCUGGCUGAUCAUCCGGUGUUCUCACCGGUGCACUCUGCCAGGCUCAGGCCAGCAUCGGUUCUCGCGGGGGGAUAAAGGCCCUGGGAACGUAGCUCCUCCGGGAGUGUUAUAGCCCAGGGUGCAAUGCCCUCGCGGGGACCGAGGUUCGCGCAUCUGCAAGGAUG